CUGAAGCCCAGGUUUCAUGAGGUUAUGUGUCAGCUUGUAGUCCUUUCUCUGGCAGAGAUGCGAGUGACUUCUGCUCAGUGAGAGGCUCAUCUCAGGGGCUUCAUGGCCUGAGGGACGGCAGCCUGUUUGAGCUGAUCGAGCAAUCUCGUGCUACCCUUAUUUUCUGAAAUGCCUAUGAGUGACUUCUCACACAGUCUUUGAAGCGGCUUCAUGCCCGCGCUCCUUGGAAUUUCUGAAGCUGCUGAGUGUAGAAAGCACUGAGGAGGCUGUGCUCCCACCCCUGUGAGUCUUCCAGGCAUGAUCCUCUCCCCUCGGCGAGGCGGCGUCCAUGGCACACCGAGGAGGCUGUGCUCCUGUCCCCCGUGAGCUUUCCAGGUGUCCUCGUCUCCCCUCCAGGGGGACAGGAGGAACCUUUCAAACCCUUCUUAAACUUGUUUUCAUGUCUUUGUUUUAACAGAUUUCUUUGCAUCUUCUCCCUUAUCCAGAAGUGAGGGUGAAUGCUGAGUUAUUCACGGGAGUCAAGAAACCACACGCAGCCCAAAGUGACGUUUGUUUCCCUGAAAUGAUUUGUGUGUGUUCACCUUAAAAUGCAACUCAGUAAAA